GAGGAGUUUAAUCCAGGUGGAACAUCAGUUCAAAAAAGACCGGUGACACUCAUGAGAUACUUUCGUACAUUUAUUGUCAUUUUCUAGCACAUUGCGCCCCCAACAUGUUGUCAUCCUCCAACAGUCAACAAUGAAGUGGGCUCCACACAGACUGUCACAACCUGUUGCCUCGGAGAUGGUGGAAGAGGACAGUGAUGAGAUGGAGAAAGAUGAAACUGAUCUGAUACUCCAUUACAGCAAUGCCAUUUCACACUCGGUUACCCACAACUUGGACUUGACCAGAGCAGUUGAGGCAUGAGUGCAUAUGGGAGGGACAUUUCCACUGUAGUCUCUGAGCGAGGGGAGCACAUUUCUAGGUCAGUCUUUUUCGCCAAGUUAUCCAUGGUGGUCUGUUGUCUAGGCUGUCCUUGUCUUCAGCUGCAAAAUAAGCUUGCACAGGCACACAGUGG